GUGUCUGCAGGUUUCCAUAUGUUUCCAGCAUCCAGAGAUGCUGUCACCACUUAGUGUCUAACAAAACCUCAAGAUCCCUGGCUAGAAUCAUCCUUUAGAUUUCCUGGCUCAGUGAACAGCUGUACCUCAUCGCAGUUUGCAGGCAAACUGGUGUUCAGCCUGGAACUGAAACUGCUGGCUUAGAUAUUCAGAGGUACAGAUCACCAAGCAGUACUUAGCUUGCUAAGCCCAAGCUUUUGCUUUGUUUUUCCUGCUAGUCUUCUUUUACAAAUGUCUGUGCAACUCUCGUAAUUAUUUUACCCUUCUGUUUCUGGCUCCUAGUUAUUAAAUACUUUACACUCUUUCUUCUCAGGAUCUCAAAGCACUCAGGGACCUUAAUUCCCAACACUUCUGAAACAAAUAUUUAAGGUACCUGUUUUAGAAGUAGCUCAGCUGGAAGGCAGUAGGCUAGCUCAUCCAAGGUAAGACAAGCAUAUCUGUACACAGCCAAGCAUAGGUUGCAAGUGUCCAGGCUCCAAUUUCUGCCAUUGUAUUAUUAUUCUUUGGUUUUGUAAUAAUAAAUGUAACAAAUCAAAUGUAUUAUCACUUAAAUGAAACAAAACACAAUUUUUUUUUUUCUUUUUUAAAAAAGGAAAGCAUGGAGUAAAUGAGCUGCUGUUAAAUUCCUAGUCUUCCCUGUCCAGGGCCACAAGAAGAAAAGAGCAUAGACAGUGUCACAGAAGAGAUCUGGGGGAACUGAAUGCCAUCACUGCUUUUGGAAUCCUGGCCACUCCUCUUAGCUCUGGAAUGGCAAUUUGAAACAUUGAUGUGGUGGCAUUCCUGACCAAUGAAACUGCUGUUUUAGCUACUACCUGAGUGAAGAAUAGGAGAAGUAGUAGAGACAACGUGCCUCAGCAUUGCCUGGUCAUUGUCGUUCUGGGGCUCCAACACUGCUUCCGUAGACAGAGACUUUGCAAUUUUGGAAAGGAUCUAGUUCUGAAAGAGAAAAAAAAAAGGAAAGCAAACUGGGCUGCAUUUGUUACUGGACCCUAAAAUCCAUUUCUGCUGCAUAGCUAGGCAGCUUCCUGGAAAAGAGAACUUUAAAAACAUGAUCAGAAAACGCCUGGUGAAAGUUGUAACCGGCUCUGACUGUCCAUGCUGUGACAGCCAACAAAUAUCACCUGCUGAUGAUUUACAGAUUCCUGGGAGAUGUGGUGUUGAGUCUCAAAAAACUGGAACAAGAACAACUCACCCAAUAUGCUUCUCAGGAAACAGUGUCUGGAAUCAGGGUCUGAUGGCUGGAAUUAAUGAGCGGCACAUUUGAGGCCUGGUUUUCUCUGGCCUUGGAUCUUGUGAUUGAAUUAUCCUAUGUCUAAGAAGUUAUCAGAGCUUCAUUUGAGACAGUCCUGAACCGAAAUCAUGGAAUCCAAAUUCCUUGAUAUACAAAAUGGUUUAGCUGUGUAUGAACCUGAGUACUGAGAUACAGGGAGCUACCUACAAUUUCAAUUGAGAAAAGUAAUUUGGUCAUUCUGGACAGGGGCCACAGGAGCUGGAAUCAGAACAGAAUCUCACCAGAGAUUAGUACCCACACCUCAACAGUGCCUGAGAGAAUUCUGAUUAUGACCUAGGCUGAUUUAUGCUUCUGAACACACCUGGCUAGCCUCAAUCGUGAAUUCUGUGUCUACAGAGAGGUGGCAUGAUGGGAGUGUAAGAGGACAUCUCAGUUUUAAAUAAAAAGCCUCUCCAUAUAAAUUCAGACACACUCCUGCUGCUGCAGAAGGACAUUAAUAUGGAAGUCAGACAAGCAUGCAUAGACUUAUGAAACUGCAUUUGCUAUCCAACCAAGGCAAGGAGCCCUGCUGAAUUCAGGAAGAAGUCCCGGAGAGGUGCUGCCUUCUUCCAAGAUGUAGGGAAAAGUCCAUGACUGUGCAUCUAAUAAACUCAUGAAAGCUGGGACACCAAAGUGGUGGAAUGCAUUGACAAUGAAUGCAGCUUUCUUUCAACUGGUGAUGGAUUUUCUGUAGAUGAUUCCAUGAGCUACACUUUGGUCCUAUCAAGACAGGCAGGCAGCUGCAUGAGAGGUGGAAAGAGAGAAAAUGAGAUAAAAUCACCACCAACAGAUAGAUACUGCAGGCAGGAAGGCAGCGUUGGAUCCCAGCCACAAUACUUCUGCAACCUGGUUUGAAUAGGCCUGAUGGGAUGCCAUAAUGUAACCUUCACUAAACAAAGACCUUUUGUCAGAAGCAUAGCAAGGAACUUCAGUCUGGCUUUCAAAAGUGCAGAACAUCCAAAACUCCUACUGAACUCUCCAGGAAUUACAGUUUUAGGAUUUGGGACAAUCCACAGGCUGCACUCUGAUUCAGAUGUCCCCCUGAAUCAAUGUGUGUCCUCCAGGAGGGAUCACAGCUGUGUAAAAGUGCAACACUGCUGCAACUGCGAAACCUCAUGUCAAUUCUGAGAAAGUUCAUGACUACUACACGGAGAUGCCAGCCACUCGAGCAACUCAACCUACAAAUUAUUGCAUUGUUGCAAGAAUGAGAGAAAAAAAUCACUCGUUAUUACAGAAGAAUCAUAGAGACAUUCAAGCACAUUGAAAGCUUUUCUGAAAACAUGACUUCUCUGGAGCUAUCAAGCCAUAGGAAUUGUUUUCUAACUUUGUGCCUUUACAGAUCAGUUUUCCCUGCUAUGUUACCUGUUAUUUAUUUAAUGUCACUAUACGUAUACAUAUAUAAAUGUAAAUGCAAAUAAAUGCACAUAUAUAUAUGUAUGCAGGAAUAUAACCAUAUGAGCAUAUGUUUGUUUAUUUCUGUUCUGUGUGUGUACAACUACUAUAGCAAAAUCCUUUAGAUGCAGAAGUGUUUUGCAAUCCAUUAAUUUAUGCUUUCUUCCUGCAUUUGUAAUGCCAGCACCAAUUAAUUUACAGGGAUUAUUUCUAGUGCUUGUCAGUGGCAGCAGUCCCCAGCUGAAGUAGCAGUGAGCUCAAAAACAAUUUUAGGCCAGUAUUUGGCCAGACCUGUGUGCUAAAAUAAACACAAGGCAUGUGUAAUUUGUGUACAAGGUUCAUCCUGCUCUUCACUGCUGCCCAGCUGCUAAGUAAACAGUCUCCAACCCUUUUCCCAGCAUGAAGCAGGAUGUUUGGGAGCAGGGAGGUGGGGAGCUCUUCAGCACCUCCUGUGAUUCAUCUAGCAACAAGCAACACGUGAUCUCUGCCAGUGCUGGGUUCCCAACACAGGUGAUGCUCCACCUGGCCCCAAAUCCAUCUCCAUCCAAAGCUUCAUGGUGGCAUAUGGCUGAAACACGUCUGGAAGCAUCACCAGUGGGCAGGGAAUCAACCAGGUCACCAAGUCUUCCUCAACCCACUCGGUGCAUGUGCUGAAGUUAGGUCACUACCAGCAGCUGCUAUAUUUAUAGAGAUAUGUCGUAAGUUUGACGUAAGACAAAAUUUGUUUUUCUUGUGCAGCAGGGCAAAGGUGCCUUUCUCCUCCCCUUCUUCAGUUUUUGGACAAACCUUUACUUGUUUUCACAGGAACAUUAGCUCAAAUCUGCUGCUACUGUGCGCAGCCGAUAAAACUACUGCUUGGAAAGACCAUAUGUCACAUGAACUGCUCAAGAGGCAUGAAGCCCCGCUUUUUUCCGAUCCUUUAAAGAUACAAUUCUAUGCACAGUUAAAAUGGAAAAGAGCAUUAUGUUUAAAGAUAAACUCACUUACUGUGCAACUGCUUUGCUAAAUUCUGUCACCAAAUUACUUGUUAAUAAGACAUUUGGCCUGCCUGUUUGGAGAAAAAAAAAAAAAAAAGAAAGUUGUUGCACAUCUCUUUCUCCUUGUUUAUUAGUUGCUAUGACAAUGCUAAUGACACUAUCACUACAGAGGAAUAAAAUCUUUUAUUAGAGGCAAGAAAAGACAAAAAACUCAUUCUGAGGAGAAAGUUCCCUCUAUUUAUGUACUUCUUUGACCUGGGUGGUUAGCCAAUAUUUAGGGUCUCUACAGGUUGUUUCUGUUUGGAGAACAAAUGGAUGAGGGAGUGAACUGGGCUUUUUAAUGUGCUUCUGUUUGUUUAGAAAGACUGUACCCAACGUCCUGUUACUCUGGGCACAGCGGGAGUCAAAACAAUAAGCAGUGUUUUCUCUCUUCACACUUUCAAGCUUCUUUUGAGCCACAACACGAGCCACAACACAAGCUCUCUCUCUCUUAACUUUCUCUCAGGGUCAGGCUACAAGGGUUUUUCUUGCUGGCUCUGGUGUACCCUUUCUACUUCCUCUGUCUGUUUCCUUGAUGUUUCUGCUGUCACUUUCUGAACUGCUCCAUUUCAUCAUAUGCCACCUUGUCCCCAGCACUGCAGUUAGAUCCUGGAGAAAUGCCUCAGCCCCCACAGUUCAGCACU